rnacentral:rRNA from 1 species
GAUGAACGCUGGCGGCAGGCCUAACACAUGCAAGUCGAACGAGUGGCGGACGGGUGAGGAAUGUCUGGGAAACUGCCUGGUGGAGGGGGAUAACUACUGGAAACGGUAGCUCAUACCGCAUACCAUCGGAUGUGCCCAGAUGGGAUUAGCUAGUGGGUGGGGUAACGGCUCCCCUAGUCGACGAUCCCUAGCUGGUCUGAGAGGAUGACCGGCCACACUGGAACUGAGACACGGUCCAGACUCCUACGGGAGGCAGCAGUGGGGAAUAUUGCACAAUGGGCGCAAGCCUGAUGCAGCCAUGCCGCGUGUAUGAAGAAGGCCUUCGGGUUGUAAAGUACUGUCAGCGGGGAGGCGUUACCCGCAGAAGAAGCACCGGCUAACUCCGUGCCUGCAGCCGCGGUAAUAC